CCCAACGUAGCCAAAAAGAAAAAAAAAAGAAUGCCUUUGGUGGGCUUAUUAGUAGAUGACACAGCUGAGGAAAGAAUCUCUGAGCUAGAGAAUAUAUCAAUAGAAUCCUUGAAAAGCAAAGACAGCAAAGAUUGAAGAAAGAAACCCAAACAAACCAAUAGCCAAGGUCUGUGGGACAACUGCAAAAGGUAUAACAUACAGUUGACUCUGAACAACAUGGGUUUGAACUAUACUGGUUCACUUAUACACAGAUUUCUUUCAAUAAUAAAUACUAUAGUACUAUGUGAUCCAAGUUUGGUUGAAUCUGUAGAUGUGGAACUGCAGAUACAGAGGAACCAUGGAUAUGGAGGAAUUGUGUGUAUGGAGGGCCAACUAUAAUUAUAUAUGGAUUUUCGACUGUGUGGAGGGUUGGUGCCCCUAACCUGUGUUCAAGAUUCAACUGUUAACACACAAUGAGAAUACCAGGAGAGAGAAAGUAACAGAAGAAGUAUUGGAAACAAUAAUGACUGAGAAUUUCUUCAAAUUAAUGCCAGACACCAAACCGCAGAUCAAGGGAGCUUAGAGAACUCCAAGCAGGAUUAAAAAAAAAAAACAAAAAACAAACUGUAUUGAGGCAUAUAAUAUUCAAUCUACAGAAAGUCAAAGAUAAGGAAAAAGUCCUGAAAGAAGCUAGAGGGAAGAAAACACCUUACCUAUAGAGUAACAAAGAUAAGAAUUACAUCUGACUUCUCCUCAGAAACUGUGCAAGCAAAAAGACUGUGGAGUGUUAAAAAAAAAAAACCAGCAACCUAGAAUUCUGUGAAAUUAUCUUUCAAAAGUGAAGGAAACACAAAUAUUUUCCUGGGCAAGUGAAAGUUGGAAUUUGUCAUCAGUAGAACUUCCUUGCAAGAAAUGUUAAAAGAAGUUCUUCAGAGAGAAGGAAAAUAAUAUAUGUCAGAAACUUGGAUCUGUAUGAAGUGAUGAAGAACAUCAAAGAAGGAAUAAGUGAAGGAACAGUUGCAUGCAGUUCUGGAAGCUGAGCAGUCCCACAGUCUGCCUCUGCAAGCUGGAGAACGAGGAAAGACAGCAGUAUAAUGCAGUCCAAGUCUGAAGGCCUGAGAACUAGGAGCUCUGAUGGUCGAGGGCAGGAAAAGAUGGACAUCCCAGCUCAAGAAGAGAGAGAGAAUUCUGCCAUCUUUUCCUCUUUUGUUCCAUAUGGCCCCAAACAGAUUGGAUGAUGUCUGCCCAUAUUGAUUUUCAAGUCUUCUGGUGCUUACUGCAAGAAUGAUGCCUAACUAAUACACCUUGCAUACCUAUCUUUGUCACUGAAGUCUUCUCAAACCCUUUAUGGAACAAAGCUGGAUAUGAUUAAAUAAAGUCUGCAUCUAGUUUCUGAUAUGUGAACAAGAUCAUCUUCAAAAUUAAGGAUUUCCAUGGAAAAGAAUAUUAGAUCCUCUGUCAACUAUCAGACUUCUCCUUCUGCACAGCCCUCUCUUGGUGCUUUUGCUUUUCAAAGUUUUCAGUAGCCGGGCACUUACUCCACUACGGCGGGAUGUCAUAGCCACCACUGGAGACCACUGGUUGGUUCUGGGGUUGUAUCUCUCAGCACUGCUAAGCUCUGUAGUGUCAUCUCUACCUCCUACGGCAUAGAUCAUAUCCUGAUACACUGCACAGCCUAGGUGUUUCCUCCGGGUCCCCAUAGGGGCUAUGGUGUGCCAUCUGUUUUCCUGAGGAUUAUAACGCUCCACUGCAGGGAAAAGAAAAACCAGGGACUCUCCUAAGAAAAAUGUAUUGGUUUGGGGAAACUAAACUGACUUCGGAAGGAACUAACCUGUGUUGAGUGGAGAUGUCCCAUCAGAGCCACCUACAGCGUAUAAGAACCCUCCUAACACAGCCACAGCCACGCCUAGUCUCCUAGUACUCAUAGAAGCCACCCGAGUCCACUUGUUCUCCUUCGGAUCAUACCUGCGGUAAGAGAAACCAAAGACUGCACGCAUGUUUUUAUUAAGUGAAGCCUUUUCCAUAAGGUAUGAAAUUAUGCUAAAGAUAUGUUAGAUACAUAGAUUUGCUAAGGUCAAAUGUACAGAGAGAAUCUAACAUAUUUUUACAUAGUUAUCAGUACUCUGACUUAUGAAC